rnacentral:rRNA from 1 species
AGAGCGAACGCUGGCGGCAGGCCUAAUACAUGCAAGUCGAACGGACCCUUCGGGGUUAGUGGCGGACGGGUGAGUAACACGUGGGAACGUGCCCUUUGGUUCGGAACAACUCAGGGAAACUUGAGCUAAUACCGAAUGUGCCCCCAUCCUUAAACAAGAUGGGUGGGAAAGAUUUAUCGCCAUUGGAGCGGCCCGCGUCUGAUUAGCUAGUUGGUGAGGUAAAGGCUCACCAAGGCGACGAUCAGUAGCUGGUCUGAGAGGAUGAUCAGCCACACUGGGACUGAGACACGGCCCAGACUCCUACGGGAGGCAGCAGGUAGGGAAUCUUGCGCAAUGGGCGAAAGCCUGACGCAGCCAUGCCGCGUGAAUGAUGAAGGUCUUAGGAUUGUAAAAUUCUUUCAGCGGGACGAUAAUGACGGUACCAGCAGAAGAACGCCCGGCUAACUCGUGCCAGCAGCCGC